GUGUCCUCACACCAUGAAGGACAUGAGGACAGUCAUUGGCCCAAUGUCCCUCUUGAUGUCAU
rnacentral:pre_miRNA from 1 species